rnacentral:rRNA from 1 species
UACGUAGGGUGCAGGCGUUAAUCGGAAUUACUGGGCGUAAAGUGUGCGCAGGCGGCCACGCAAGUCGAGUGUGAAAGCCCCGGGCUUAACCUGGGAAUUGCGCUCGAAACUACGAGGCUAGAGUGUGGCAGAGGGAGGUGGAAUUCCACGUGUAGCGGUGAAAUGCGUAGAGAUGUGGAGGAAUACCGAAUGGCGAAGGCAGCCUCCUGGGCCAACACUGACGCG